rnacentral:rRNA from 1 species
UACGUAGGGUGCGAGCGUUGUCCGGAAUUAUUGGGCGUAAAGAGCGUGUAGGCGGUCAGGUAGGUCCGUUGUGAAAACUCGAGGCUCAACCUCGAGACGCCGAUGGAAACCAUCUGACUAGAGUCCGGAAGAGGAGAGUGGAAUUCCUGGUGUAGCGGUGAAAUGCGCAGAUAUCAGGAAGAACACCCGGUGCUAAGGCGGCUCUCUAGUACGGUACUGACGCUGAGACGCGAAAGCCGUGGGGAGCGAACAGG